rfam:Triticum aestivum genome assembly, contig: Triticum_aestivum_CS42_TGACv1_scaffold_327865_4BS
AUAGUACUCCCUCCGUCCGAAAAUAUUUGUCAUCAAAAUAAAAAGAGAUGUAUCUAGAACUAAGAUGCAUCUAGGUACAUCCCCUCUUAUCCAUUUUGAUGACAAGUAUUUCCGGACGGAGGGAGUAUACU